rnacentral:rRNA from 1 species
UGCAGUCGAGCGGACCGGGCGGGAGCUUGCUUCCGCUUGGUUAGCGGCGGACGGGUGAGUAACACGUGGGUAACCUGCCCGUAAGACCGGGAUAACUCCGGGAAACCGGGGCUAAUACCGGAUAACACCGAAGACCGCAUGGUCUUCGGUUGAAAGGCGGCUUCGGCUGCCACUUACGGAUGGGCCCGCGGCGCAUUAGCUAGUUGGUGAGGUAACGGCUCACCAAGGCGACGAUGCGUAGCCGGCCUGAGAGGGUGACCGGCCACACUGGGACUGAGACACGGCCCAGACUCCUACGGGAGGCAGCAGUAGGGAAUCUUCCGCAAUGGACGAAAGUCUGACGGAGCGACGCCGCGUGAGCGAAGAAGGUCUUCGGAUCGUAAAGCUCUGUUGUUAGGGAAGAAGAAGUGCCGUUCGAACAGGGCGGCACGGUGACGGUACCUAACGAGAAAGCCCCGGCUAACUACGUGCCAGCAGCCGCGGUAAUACGUAGGGGGCGAGCGUUGUCCGGAAUUAUUGGGCGUAAAGCGCGCGCAGGCGGUCCCUUAAGUCUGAUGUGAAAGCCCACGGCUUAACCGUGGAGGGUCAUUGGAAACUGGGGGACUUGAGUGCAGAAGAGGAGAGCG